ensembl:lncRNA
UAGCAAGUUCUAAUAAUAAAAAAAAUUAAAAAAUCAAAACAAAAACAUUAUCCAUUUUAUUGCAUAUGAAUGAUUGAACUCUUCUUGGUGGACACUGUUUUAGAUGUAGUGAGAAGACAAUAAGUGUCUAUCAUUUUAAAAUCAAAUCUAUAAAUUAAAUUGAAGGGGAUAAUUUUGUUAAAUACAUUCUAUUAUUAAUCCCUCAUAACAUUUUCAAUUGAUAAUAUUUUCAUGUUUAAACCUAGCAGUUACAAUUGCUGGACGUGUUUUGUCCCAUGUCUCAAGAAUCAGUGUUAAGUUAAAUAUUUAAAACUAAAUGGUUGAUUGUAAUUAAACAUUUUAAAUGUAAAAUGAUUUUAAAAGUUUUGCUGUCUAGAGUGAAGUAAAGUUAACCUAAAGUAUCGAUCUCAUUAAGCUAGUAACAAUCCGAUACCAAUACCAACGUAUGGAUACAGUGGAAAUAAGUAUCUAUCCGCCCACCCCUGAAGAGAAGAAAUGAAACUGAAAGUUUCAGUAAAGUUUAGAUGAGUUAGGACGUCAUUUCAGAACAACGUGGAACAAAACAGUUUCCAUUACAAUUAUUGCUGUUGCCAGUAUUUCUCCUGCCAGGAGACAACAAAACCAGAAUGCCUCUUGAGAUGAGUGAUUUGAGGGUUGUUCUUCUGGGUAAGAGUGUGUCAGAGAACAGCCAAGUGGGAAACUUCAUCUUAGGAAGAGCAGUGUUUGACAGUGAAUCUCCUUCAGAUGAUGUAGUGCCGUACAGUGACAGAGUCCGAGGAAAACAUGUGACUGUCAUCAACACUCCUCUCCUGCUCAACCCAGAUCUCUCACUACGUCACAUCACACAGGCAGUGAAGGAGUGUUUGUCUCUGUCUGCUCCAGGACCUCACGUGAUCAUUCUGGUGCUCAAACCUGACGAGUGUUCAAGAGAAGAGAAAGUGUGCAUCGAGAUCCUGCUCAGCUGUUUCUCUGACAGAGUGUUUCAGCACACCCUGGUGCUCACGACACAAAAGCCAGACCCCACUGAGCCAAUUGAAGUCAAUGAUGUCAUAAAGGAAAUCAUUAAAAAAUGUUGUAACAGACACAACAGAUUGGAGAGAAACAGCACUCCUGAUGACCUUAUAGCCACAGUGAAGGAAAUAGUUCAGGAGAAUGAUGGAUGUUACUUGAAUUGUAACAAAUGUGAGGACUUCACUACAGACGCCACAGAAAGAGUGCCACGGGUGGAAACAGGUCAGGAAAAAGCAAUUAGACACAGUCAGUCUGUUGCUAAUGAGAAUCCUAAAAUGUCAAGAGAAACCACAAGCAGCGAAAACAUGGAAACAGAUCUCAGCAAUGUAAAGGGCUUAAGUGUUGCACAGAUUAUAAAGGACAAUCAGAGCAGAAAAAUAGAAGAUGGAAGCAAUGAAAACCUACCAAUGUUUAAACUCCAUCUGGAUGAAACAUGGAAGAACAGUGACGGAUUCUGCAGAAGAAGCACAUUUGGGAAAACCAUCCCAAAAGAGAACAAGACCAUUAUGAUGAUCGGAGCGACAGGUGCAGGAAAAACCACUCUAAUUAACAGCAUGAUCAACUAUAUUCUGGGAGUGCAAUGGGAAGACGACUUCCGGUUUGUGCUGAUAGAUGAAGGGAAGCAGAAAUCCCAGGCUGAAAGUCAGACGUCAAAGAUCACAGCAUAUCAGAUUAAUCACAUGGAUGGUUUCCGGGUUCAAUAUUCUCUGACUAUAGUGGACACACCAGGCUUUGGUGACACCAGAGGAAUUUCACAUGACCAGAAAAUCACAGCACAGAUUCAGGAGUUCUUCUCUGCCCAUGGAGGGAUCGACCACAUUGAUGCUGUGUGUUUCGUAGUACAGGCUUCACUUGCUCGUCUGACACACACACAGAAAUAUGUCUUCGACUCCAUUCUUUCCAUAUUUGGGAAGGAUAUUGCUGAAAACAUCCUUGUGCUGGUCACCUUUGCAGAUGGGAAAACACCUCCAGUUCUCGAGGCCAUCAAAGUCUCUCAGGUUCCCUGUUCUACCAAUGACUCCGGAGAGCCACUUCACUUCAAGUUCAACAACUCUGCCAUGUUUGCUACCAAUAAUAAAUCUGGAGGAGCUAAGGAGUCUGAUUGGGAGAACUUUGAUCAAAUGUUCUGGAAUCUGGGAUUUUCCAGCAUGACAAAGUUCUUCACAUCCCUUAACAUGAUGCAAACUAAGAGCUUGUCUCUGACACAGGAGGUCUUAAAAGAGCGACAACAGCUAGAAGUGCUUGUGGAACGUCUCCAGCCCCAGAUCAAUGCUGGUCUGACAAAACUGAAUGAAAUCAGGAACACAUAUGCUGCUCUGGAGCAGCACAAGGCUGAAAUGGUUGCAAACAAGGAUUUUGAAUACGAGAUUGAAGUAACUGUCCCAAAACAGAUCAAAAACACAUCUAGCUCCUUCUUAACCAACUGCCAAACUUGUCACUUCACAUGUCAUGACAAAUGCAUUUAUGCAAAUGACUUUGAUAAAGAUAAGUGCUCUGCCAUGAAAAACGGAAAGUGUAACGUCUGCCCUGGAAAGUGUGUCUGGAAUGUGCACUUCAAUCAGAAAUACAAAUGGGAUUAUGUCACACAAAAAAGAAAGGAAACCUAUCAGGAUUUAAAAAAGCGAUAUGAGGCUGCACAUGGACAGGUCAUGUCAACAGAAAAGAUCUUUGAAGAGCUUGAAAAUGAGCUUGAUGUUGUCCAGGAUACUGUGGCUGGACUAAUUAAACACUCUCAAAUGUCCUUGGAGCGGCUGCAGGAAAUUGCCCUCAAGCCCAAUCCUCUUUCUGUCCCUGACUACAUUGAUCUGAUAAUUGAGUCUGAAAAACAAGAAGCCAAACCUGGAUUUAAAGAUCGCAUUCAGUCUUUAUCAGAAGUCAGGAAGAAAGCAGACAUCAUCAGUAAGGUUUCCACAGGAGAAGUGCUUCCACAGCAUUGGAAAGAAUACAAACGUACAGGGAAAAAAAAAACUUUCAGUGAUAUAACUGGCUGGUUCAAUUUUGGAUUUUGGAAAAAGAAGGCAGGAACCAGCGAAUGAUAAAUUUAACUGUAAUAAUGACAUCAACAAUCAAGACAAAAUGAAAGUAAAGUGGAACCCCCUUACAGACAACUGAUACACAAACAAAACUCCCAGGCCUGGUCCUCUCACAUCCUUCACUGUCGUCAUUCCUCCUUUUAUCCUUCCAGAGCUCCACCACGGGACUCGUGACCGCUGUGACACACAGGUGCAUUUACACUUGCACGACAACCAUCACUCUGUUCCCACGCCUAACCUGCCAUGCUCAACACAUUUAGUAAAACAAAAAAAUGGCUUUUUGUUAUAAUGCUCUAUAUGCAUUUUUAUUACACUUAAUACAUCAGUUUAAAAAUGGUCUUCAUCUUCAAUCUGCAUAUGAUGUACAAUACCCACCCAGUUUGUUAAAUCUAUGCAUCUAAAAUUUAUCUGUCAUAUUGAUUUAACUAAUAAUGCCACAGAUGUUCAGAAUGUUUCAGAAUGCUGUUUUGGGAUGCUGUUAUUUUACUUGCACUGUAAAGUUACUAAAUCUAAACUCUGUGUACUGGCAAUAAAUAGUACCUAAAUGUUCCCUGGAUUUUUAUA